ensembl:lncRNA
GAGGCUUGUUGUCAGGAGAGAUGUGGGUGUGAGGCUGGUUGUCAGGGGAGGUGCGGUGUGAGGCUGGUUAUCAGGAGAGGUGCGGUGUGAGGCUAGUUAUCAGGAGAGGUGUGGGUGUGAGGCUGGUUGUCAGGAGAGGUGCAGUGUGAGGCUAGUUGUCAGGAGAGGUGCGGUGUGAGACUAGUUGUCAGGAGAAGUGUAGAUGUGAGGCUGGUUGUCAGGAGAGGUGUGGUGUGAGGCUAGUUGUCAGGAGACGUGCGGUGUGAGGCUGGUUAUCAGGAGAGGUGUGGGUGUGAGGCUGGUUUUCA